UACGGAGGGUGCGAGCGUUGUCCGGAAUCACUGGGCGUAAAGGGCGCGUAGGCGGCCACCGCAAGUCAAUUGUGAAAUCUCCGGGCUUAACUCGGAAAGGUCAACUGAUACUGCGGGGCUAGAGUGCGGAAGGGGCAACUGGAAUUCUCGGUGUAGCGGUGAAAUGCGUAGAUAUCGAGAGGAACACCUGCGGCGAAGGCGGGUUGCUGGGCCGACACUGACGCUGAUGCGCGAAAGCCAGGGGAGCGAACGGG
rnacentral:rRNA from 1 species